rnacentral:rRNA from 1 species
UACGUAGGGGGCAAGCGUUGUCCGGAUUUAUUGGGCGUAAAGGGCGCGUAGGCGGCUUGGCAAGUGGAAGGUGAAAUCCCUCGGCUUAACCGAGGAACUGCCCUCCAAACUGCUUCGCUUGAGACCGGGAGAGGUGAGUGGAAUUCCCAGUGUAGCGGUGAAAUGCGUAGAUAUUGGGAGGAACACCAGUGGCGAAGGCGGCUCACUGGACCGGUACUGACGCUGAGACACGAAAGCGUGGGUAGCAAACAGG